AUUGAACGCUGGCGGCAGGCCUAACACAUGCAAGUCGAACGAGUGGCGGACGGGUGAGUAAUGUCUGGGAAACUGCCCGAUGGAGGGGGAUAACUACUGGAAACGGUAGCUAAUACCGCAUACCAUCGGAUGUGCCCAGAUGGGAUUCGCUAGUAGGUGGGGUAACGGCUCACCUAGGCGACGAUCCCUAGCUGGUCUGAGAGGAUGACCAGGAACACUGGAACUGAGACACGGUCCAGACGCCUACGGGAGGAAGGAGUGGGGAAUAUUGCACAAGGGGCGCAAGCCUGAUGCAGCCAUGCCGCGUGUAGGAAGAAGGCCGUCGGGUUGUAAAGUACUUUCAGCGAGGAGGCGUUACUCGCAGAAGAAGCACCGGCUAACUCCGUGCCAGCAGCCGCGGUAAUAC
rnacentral:rRNA from 1 species